GGGCGAGUCUGGUUCCCAGGAGGACUACCUCCCGCCCGACUCGCUCCCGCAGGAGGCGCCCCGUAAUCUCCAUCUGCGCGAUGUGCUGGACAUCUCGCCGGUGCUCACCGAGGCGGCGGGCGCCAUCGUCGAUGUGAGUGCCUCCCGGAUCCCUCUGCUGUUCUCUUGCUUGUGUGUUUUGGGUUAGGAGGUGUUGUCCUGGCACAGUAUAUUUCUAGGUUUAGCAAGUUACCUGUGCUGGUAAAGGCAAUUUUGGUGGAGACGAGUCUCAGCUUGAAUGCUGAUGUUCAAUUGUUUAACUUGUUUGCAUCUUCGUUCUCUGGGACUGCCUAGGAUUUUUGUAUAUUCCAAUUACUAUCUGGAGCCUAGCUGUAAAUUUAAAGUAUAUCCAUUUGAUUUUAAGGUUCCUGAAGUUCAACUUUCUGGUUUUGUUCUGUAAAUUUGUGUUGUGGAACCUAAGCUUAUAGUUAA